rnacentral:rRNA from 1 species
AGUGAACGCUGGCGGUAGGCCUAACACAUGCAAGUCGAACGGCAGCACAGUAAGAGCUUGCUCUUACGGGUAGCGAGUGGCGGACGGGUGAGGAAUACAUCGGCAUCUACUUUUUCGUGGGGGAUAACGUAGGGAAACUUACGCUAAUACCGCAUACGACCUACGGGUGAAAGCAGGGGAUCUUCGGACCUUGCGCGAUUGAAUGAGCCGAUGUCGGAUUAGCUAGUUGGCGGGGUAAAGGCCCACCAAGGCGACGAUCCGUAGCUGGUCUGAGAGGAUGAUCAGCCACACUGGAACUGAGACACGGUCCAGACUCCUACGGGAGGCAGCAGUGGGGAAUAUUGGACAAUGGGCGCAAGCCUGAUCCAGCCAUACCGCGUGGGUGAAGAAGGCCUUCGGGUUGUAAAGCCCUUUUGUUGGGAAAGAAAAGCAGCAGGUUAAUACCCCGCUGUUCUGACGGUACCCAAAGAAUAAGCACCGGCUAACUUCGUG